GGGUCAAUGAUGAGACCAUAUCUUCUGGAAGACAAAUGAUGACAUAAAAAUAAUGCUUAACAGGAUUACACUGAGGCAC